UGCACCCCUAGCUCAACUGGAUAGAGCAUCGGUCUACGGAACCGAAGGUUGGUGGUUCGAACCCACCGGGGUGCAU
rnacentral:tRNA from 1 species